rnacentral:rRNA from 1 species
AUUGAACGCUGGCGGCAGGCCUAACACAUGCAAGUCGAGCGAGCGGCGGACGGGUGAGUAAAGUAUGGGGACUGCCCGAUAGAGGGGGAUAACUCCUGGACACGGUAGCUAAUACCGCAUACUAUCGGAUAACACAUGUGGGAUUAGAUAGUUGGUGAGGUAAUGGCGUACAAAGGAGACGAUCCCUAGCUGGUCUGAGAGGAUGAUCAGCCACACUGGAACUGAGACACGGCCCAGACUCCUACGGAGGCAGCAGUGGGGAAUAUUGCACAAUGGGCGAAAGCCUGAUGCAGCCAUGCCGCGUGUAUGAAGAAGGCCCUAGGGUUGUAAAGUACUUUCAGUCGGGAGGCGUUACCGACAGAAGAAGCACCGGCUAACUCCGUGCCAGCAGCCGCGGUAAUUC